rnacentral:rRNA from 1 species
CCUACGGGUGGCAGCAGUGAGGAAUAUUGGUCAAUGGGCGCGAGCCUGAACCAGCCAAGUCGCGUGAGGGAAGACGGUCCUAUGGAGUGUAAACCUCUUUUGUCGGGGAGAAAAAGACGCAACGCGUGGCGGUCCGAGAGUACCCGAAGAAAAAGCAUCGGCUAACUCCGUGCCAGCAGCCGCGGUAAUACGGAGGAUGCGAGCGUUACCCGGAUUUAUUGGGUUUAAAGGGUGCGGAGGGGGAAGGUAAAGUCAGGGGUAAAAUUGAGAGGCUCAAGCUUUUCGAGCCGUUGAAACUGGUUUUCUUGAGUGCGUGAGAAGUAUGCGGAAUGCGUGGUGUAGCGGUGAAAUGCAUAGAUAUCACGCAGAACUCCGAUUGCGAAGGCAGCACACCGGCGCUCAACUGACGCUCAUGCACGAAAGUGUGGGUAUCGAACAGGAUUAGAUACCCCAGUAGUC